AGAUUUGAGGACAGGGCCUGAGGACAGCCAGAGCUGCAGCAGCCAUAACAGCAGCCCCUGCUCUCAGUUCCUGUCAGAGCAGAAAAUUCGAGGACUUUGUGACUCCCGCCCGGAGUGCUCUCGACUCCUGGAAAGGCAGGAGCAACUCCCGAGCUCAGGAGAGGCCCUGGCUACUGUGAGGAGAGGCCCUGGGCUAAGUCACUCUUGAAGGAACAUGAGUUCUCCAGGCCUGGGUUUGUCUUCUGGGGAAACCAAGUGGGGUUCGUGCAGCUUUCACCAGGAGCGCGCUGCUCAUGGGACGGAGCUCCGGGAGCUUGUCUGCUGCGGACCUCGGGAAGACCCUGGUCCUGAAGGUGGCACCGAGUCCCAGACAGCCAGCUCCCCGCUUGCUAUCCCGAGGUUCAAAGGAGUUUUGCAUACCGUCUGCCUAUGGUCCCUUAGACCGAACCCCAGCUCUGCAGCCUCACAGUCAUUAACCGGCCACAUGCACGGCGUGAAAGGGACUGGGAAGUCUGACCAGGGGCACCAGGAGCAGUCUGUGUUGGGCAGCUCUCACCAAGGAGCCUUGUCUAGUAAGGGGUGUUUGGAAGACAAAGGACAAACAGAAGUAAAGAAGGAGAAAGAAGAUGAGGAAAAAAAAAUAUGUUGGAAUUAAUCCAGUUUAUACCGUCUGGUCUCAUUCUAUCCAAUGCUCAUCCGCUCUGCUCCUAUCCUGCCCUUCCUGCUCUACUCGGAUGGCACUACAGCAAAUGCCAGGAACUGUGGGAAACAAAGUGAUAAUUAUAACACCUCGUUAGUGUAAUGACGUCAUCUGCCAGAAGGUGAACUUUCUCUGUUGCUGCAGGAUGAAGACAUUUGGAGCAUAUUUAAGGAUAGGUGUCAGAAGGUGCAGUGGACACUGAGGGACUGCUCUCUAGCAGGCCCUGUUUACCUUGUGAGCUGGGUGGGGAAUUUCAGAGGCAAGGCUGGAGCCAGAGGAAAGUAAACGCAAUUAAGAUGUCAUACGUAUAUGUUCCAGUUCCCCAAGAUGCAUGCAAAUCCCUGUGUACCUUAUCGACAUCACAUAUACCAAUAAACAUUACUCACUGAAUAA